GAAAAGGUUAAGAAAUCCCCCCAUAUAUGCUGAGGAAUCGGCCUCGGCGUCUCUACCACGGCACCGGAAAUGCCAGGACUAUGAGGGAAAGCGGAUCAAGG
rnacentral:ncRNA from 2 species